CUGAUUCAGCGGCGGACGGGUGAGUAAUGCCUAGGAAUCUGCCUGGUAGUGGGGGACAACGUCUCGAAAGGGACGCUAAUACCGCAUACGUCCUACGGGAGAAAGCAGGGGACCUUCGGGCCUUGCGCUAUCAGAUGAGCCUAGGUCGGAUUAGCUAGUUGGUGAGGUAAUGGCUCACCAAGGCGACGAUCCGUAACUGGUCUGAGAGGAUGAUCAGUCACACUGGAACUGAGACACGGUCCAGACUCCUACGGGAGGCAGCAGUGGGGAAUAUUGGACAAUGGGCGAAAGCCUGAUCCAGCCAUGCCGCGUGUGUGAAGAAGGUCUUCGGAUUGUAAAGCACUUUAAGUUGGGAGGAAGGGCAGUAAAUUAAUACUUUGCUGUUUUGACGUUACCGACAGAAUAAGCACCGGCUAACUCUGUGCCAGCAGCCGCGGUAAUACAGAGGGUGCAAGCGUUAAUCGGAAUUACUGGGCGUAAAGCGCGCGUAGGUGGUUUGUUAAGUUGGAUGUGAAAUCCCCGGGCUCAACCUGGGAACUGCAUUCAAAACUGACAAGCUAGAGUAUGGUAGAGGGUGGUGGAAUUUCCUGUGUAGCGGUGAAAUGCGUAGAUAUAGGAAGGAACACCAGUGGCGAAGGCGACCACCUGGACUGAUACUGA
rnacentral:rRNA from 1 species